UCUGACGUCUUCGAGCGUACACGUCCCGUCCAAAUCCUUAACGAUAAUAAGACAAUACUAUAAUCACUAAUCAAUUUAUCGUAUAUACAUAUCACGUAUAUCGAUACCCACUUAUAUACCCCUUUAAACUUAUCAGAUAGCACUUAGCAUAUAAUCAUGCUUUGACUCUAUCAUAUAGUCAAAUUAACUUCCACAUAACAUAUCACAAAUCAAUUAUCAUAUAUAUCCUAUCGAAAAUCUAACAAUGUCUCAUCUAUUUAUAAGACAAUCCACCUGUUAUCUUAUCUCAACCAACAACCAGUCAACCAAUUCCAAUUCCUAUAAUCCAUAUGUCCUUAUCCAAUAUUAAUCAAAUCAUGACACUAUGUCAUAUAAGUCAUUUAUCACGUAUAUAAUAUCAAGAAUAGACAUAUAUAUCACGUAAUCAUCAAUUAGUAACAUUCAAUAACAUAUAAUCACAUUCUGCACAUUUAACAACAAUUAUUCACAUUCUCGACUCCAUCAUAUUAUUAUGUCAUAUCAAACUAGACUUUAUAGGCUUCUGUCUCUCUUUCGCUUCACUUAGUUCCGACUUACAGAUCAAAAGAUAUGAUCAAAUCAGUUUUCUAACUCCCUAUCAACAUAUAACACAUCACACAGAUAACACACGUCACAUAACACAUAAGAUUUCCCAUCCCGUCUGGUAUCAAAUCAAGUCUCGGGUGAAAAAUGAUUUUUCGAGAAUUUUCUGGAAUUUUUAAACAUUUUUCGGAAUUAAAAUCGAUAAAAGAAUCAUUUUAUAAAUUAAUAAUCAACUCCAGAUACUCGGAAUUGGACUUGAUAUCCUUCAUAAAUAAUUAACGAGCCUUGAACAUAAUUUAGAAAAAUAUUUCAAAGCUCGAAACUAUUUUUCGAGAUUUUUAAAUCAAAAAGGAUAAUUAAAUCCAAUUAAUUAAUCAAUUAAAAUCAAUUAAUAAUUAAUUAAAAUAAUUAAUCAAUUAAUAUUUAAAUUAAUUGACCAAUUAAAAUAAUUAAUUACUAAUUAAAAGUAAUUAAUAAACUAAUUUAGAUUUAUUUUUGAAUAAAGAAAUAAUUAAAAACUAUUUUUGAAAUUUGAAAUAAUCAAAUAAAACAAUGUUUGAAAAUUAAAUCAAAAGGUUUAUUUUGUAAACUUUUGAAAGUUUUCGGCCAGGGUUUAAAGUGUAACUUUUCAAAGUUACAGGGGUUGGUUAGAAAAAUUCGAAACUUCGAUAUCACAACUUCAUCAUCUUCGAAACCCUAGGGAAUAAACUGAACUUUUCCAGUCGCCGCCCCCAGGUGGCCGACCCGUCGUCGGAGACGACGCCGGAGGCGUCCCGUCGCCCAGAAUCUUGCACAAAAAUGCAGAUUUGAAGCUUACAUCCCCACAAACUCAAUGGUUUGUGCAAAGGAAUGGCCAAUCGGCCGGAAAAUGGAAGAGAAAGCGGCGGCACCGCCUCUCUUUCCGGAACCCGGCGAGUUUAUCUCGCCUCCUUUGGACAAAUUAAUGCCACCAAUCGAUUCCUCGUUCAAUAAUCUACUUAUAUAUACAAAGCAUACCUGCCCAGACUCAGUAAAUCAAGAUUCCGAUCAAAAGCUUGAGUUUUCCGGCGAGGAAACUCAAGAACACCAAGAACACUCAAUACUCAAAAUCAAACCACUGUUUCUAUAUGAUUCCGAACCCCAAAUUCAACAUAUUAUAUACCAAAACGACGAGAAAAGCACGUACUACAACAUGGUAUCAUCAAAAUAGUCAAACAAUCACGUUUGCACAAAUUCAUAUUUCAAAUCAAAAUAAUUCGAAUUUUCAAAAAUUAAUAGUAAUUUACCUGUUGAAUCUGCACACAAACGGAUGAUUAAACCAUAAUCUACACGUCGAUAGCUUCGUUUUGACUAUUCAUACACCUCCAUCGGAUUCCAAUAACGCCUCCAAAUCCUCGUUUGAUUACGAAGAACACGAAGAACACACUUCGGUUUCUCUCGGUAUUCGUGCAA
rnacentral:lncRNA from 1 species